GACGAACGCUGGCGGCGUGCCUAAUACAUGCAAGUUGAGCGCUGAAGGUUGGUACUUGUACCGACUGGAUGAGCAGCGAACGGGUGAGUAACGCGUGGGGAAUCUGCCUUUGAGCGGGGGACAACAUUUGGAAACGAAUGCUAAUACCGCAUAAAAACUUUAAACACAAGUUUUGAGUUUGAAAGAUGCAAUUGCAUCACUCAAAGAUGAUCCCGCGUUGUAUUAGCUAGUUGGUGAGGUAAAGGCUCACCAAGGCGAUGAUACAUAGCCGACCUGAGAGGGUGAUCGGCCACAUUGGGACUGGGACACGGCCCAAACUCCUACGGGAGGCAGCAGUAGGGAAUCUUCGGCAAUGGACGAAAGUCUGACCGAGCAACGCCGCGUGAGUGAAGAAGGUUUUCGGAUCGUAAAACUCGGUUGGUAGAGAAGAACGUUGGUGAGAGUGGAAAGCUCAUCAAGUGACGGUAACUACCCAGAAAGGAACGGCUAACUACGUG
rnacentral:rRNA from 1 species